rnacentral:rRNA from 7 species
AGAGUUUGAUCAUGGCUCAGAUUGAACGCUGGCGGCAGGCCUAACACAUGCAAGUCGAGCGGUAGCACAGAGAGCUUGCUCUCGGGUGACGAGCGGCGGACGGGUGAGUAAUGUCUGGGAAACUGCCUGAUGGAGGGGGAUAACUACUGGAAACGGUAGCUAAUACCGCAUAACGUCGCAAGACCAAAGUGGGGGACCUUCGGGCCUCAUGCCAUCAGAUGUGCCCAGAUGGGAUUAGCUAGUAGGUGGGGUAACGGCUCACCUAGGCGACGAUCCCUAGCUGGUCUGAGAGGAUGACCAGCCACACUGGAACUGAGACACGGUCCAGACUCCUACGGGAGGCAGCAGUGGGGAAUAUUGCACAAUGGGCGCAAGCCUGAUGCAGCCAUGCCGCGUGUGUGAAGAAGGCCUUCGGGUUGUAAAGCACUUUCAGCGGGGAGGAAGGCGUUAAGGUUAAUAACCUUGGCGAUUGACGUUACCCGCAGAAGAAGCACCGGCUAACUCCGUGCCAGCAGCCGCGGUAAUACGGAGGGUGCAAGCGUUAAUCGGAAUUACUGGGCGUAAAGCGCACGCAGGCGGUCUGUCAAGUCGGAUGUGAAAUCCCCGGGCUCAACCUGGGAACUGCAUUCGAAACUGGCAGGCUAGAGUCUUGUAGAGGGGGGUAGAAUUCCAGGUGUAGCGGUGAAAUGCGUAGAGAUCUGGAGGAAUACCGGUGGCGAAGGCGGCCCCCUGGACAAAGACUGACGCUCAGGUGCGAAAGCGUGGGGAGCAAACAGGAUUAGAUACCCUGGUAGUCCACGCCGUAAACGAUGUCGAUUUGGAGGUUGUGCCCUUGAGGCGUGGCUUCCGGAGCUAACGCGUUAAAUCGACCGCCUGGGGAGUACGGCCGCAAGGUUAAAACUCAAAUGAAUUGACGGGGGCCCGCACAAGCGGUGGAGCAUGUGGUUUAAUUCGAUGCAACGCGAAGAACCUUACCUGGUCUUGACAUCCACAGAACUUUCCAGAGAUGGAUUGGUGCCUUCGGGAACUGUGAGACAGGUGCUGCAUGGCUGUCGUCAGCUCGUGUUGUGAAAUGUUGGGUUAAGUCCCGCAACGAGCGCAACCCUUAUCCUUUGUUGCCAGCGGUUAGGCCGGGAACUCAAAGGAGACUGCCAGUGAUAAACUGGAGGAAGGUGGGGAUGACGUCAAGUCAUCAUGGCCCUUACGACCAGGGCUACACACGUGCUACAAUGGCAUAUACAAAGAGAAGCGACCUCGCGAGAGCAAGCGGACCUCAUAAAGUAUGUCGUAGUCCGGAUUGGAGUCUGCAACUCGACUCCAUGAAGUCGGAAUCGCUAGUAAUCGUAGAUCAGAAUGCUACGGUGAAUACGUUCCCGGGCCUUGUACACACCGCCCGUCACACCAUGGGAGUGGGUUGCAAAAGAAGUAGGUAGCUUAACCUUCGGGAGGGCGCUUACCACUUUGUGAUUCAUGACUGGGGUGAAGUCGUAACAAGGUAACCGUAGGGGAACCUGCGGUUG